UACAGAGGGUGCAAGCGUUGUUCGGAAUUACUGGGCGUAAAGCGCACGUAGGCGGACUAUUAAGUCAGGGGUGAAAUCCUGGAGCUCAACUCCAGAACUGCCUUUGAUACUGAGGACCUUGAGUUCGGGAGAGGUGAGUGGAACUGCGAGUGUAGAGGUGAAAUUCGUAGAUAUUCGCAAGAACACCAGUGGCGAAGGCGGCUCACUGGCCCGAUACUGACGCUGAGGUGCGAAAGCGUGGGGAGCAAACAGG
rnacentral:rRNA from 1 species